UACGAGGGGGGCAAGCGUUGUUCGGAAUUAUUGGGUUUAAAGGGUGCGUAGGCGGUCGAUUAAGUCAGUUGUGAAAUACGGCAGCUUAACUGUCGAGGUGCAAUUGAUACUGGUUGACUUGAGUACAGACGAGGUAGGCGGAAUUGACGGUGUAGCGGUGAAAUGCAUAGAUAUCGUGAAGAACACCGAUAGCGAAGGCAGCUUACUAGACUGUAACUGACGCUGAGGCACGAAAGUGUGGGGAUCAAACAGG
rnacentral:rRNA from 1 species